GGUCUUAUAUUCAACAAUGAUUUUAAAUUGCAAAUUUAAAGGAGGGGGCACCCUAAGGCUU
rnacentral:tRNA from 1 species